UUUACAAAUGCCCUCAUCCCAUUACAUAGAUCACCCUAUUUAAUAUUUUAAUUUUUUAAAAAAUCAUUCAACUUCCACCUGACCCCACAAUUAUGUACCUCAGUAUUUAAAGGACCACAAAAGUCUGUUUUAUUUCUGUAUCCCCUCACUUUUCUCUAUCUCUAUAGCCAAAUAAGUCUAGUUUUUUUUCUCCAAAACCUAGCUCAAAAUCCACCCCUAACUUUGCCUGAAGGACAAGCUUUGAGGAACAAUAGCUGAAAAUGUAGGGGGGAAAUGUAGAAAAUGAAUUUGACAAGGUUUUAUAAUUUUGUAUCUGGUGUAAAAGUAGAAGAGACUGACCAUGAGCUCUAUUCACUGUGGAAAGAAAAAAGAGAAGGUGGGGGAAAGGGGAGGAGAGGUGAAAUCUUGCCCUCUCUUAAAAAAGGGACUGUAACAAUGCUUGAAGUUGCUUUCCAGCUCCUUUGACAUUCUAUUAUCCUAGAGACCAUUGUUCAGUUAAAUUCCAAUUGUGUCAAUUGGUUUUUCUCAACUUAAAAACUAUGAGGAGAGAGCAUUUUUGUAUUUUCAUCCCUAGUUGCUCCAUAUAUUAGACACUUAAUAAAUGCUUGAGGAAAUGUUUGCCUAAAAAGAUCAUAGACCAAUGACUAAACUAAGUUUUGGAGUCUUGCAUUCUUGCAAAGGGUACCCUUCCUGAACCCCAGGGGGUUCACCUUAAGUCCCCCUCAACAGGUUGUACAAAUCUACACCAAAGCAACUAGAACUCGCUGCCUCUGACAGAAGCAGCUGGCGAACUCACAUUCACCAUGCCGCCACCACCUUUGAAGAUGAGCGACAUCGACGUCUUGCCGAUGCUGGUGAACACGGACACCAGGCCACAACCGCACCUCCCAUAACAACUGGCAUCCCAUGCCCCAUGUGCCACAAACUCUGCGCCUCAGCCUUUGGACUCCAAAGCCACAUGAAGUGAACCCAGCAUUCUCCCAAUCACUUUUUUACCUCACUUCUCUCUUCAUUCUACAUGGGGAAGAACAGAUGAGAUCAACUAGAACUGGAAACCCCACCUGCUUCCAAGAUUAGGAUAGAAAUGAAGGAGAGAAAGAAGGUGAUAAUGAAGAAAAGUCCUAAGGUGAAAAGAAGAGUGCCAGAUGCUACCAGCUCUGGAUCCCUGAGCCCUUGGCCAAGCAGAGAUUCAUUUGUUUACUUCAUCUUUACAAGGUCUGUUUACUAAACCUGCUGUAGGGCAGACUCCUGCUGCCCAAUUCUCUUUACAAUCUACUAUAGCUAAUUUCCCCCCCCCCUGUUCUGGCUAGAGGCAGAUGACUUCUUUUUUUACCUUUAGUAUCACCCCAGAGGCUAAUAAAAAAAAAAAGAAACAAAAUUGGUCUUUCUGUACAGAACUUUCCCCUUUGCACAAUGUACUAAUCAAACUGUUUCCUCAGUUGUCCCAUGGAAUUCUCACUCUUGCCUCAGCAUUUCAUUAUGUAGUUCCUCUCACUUGGAAUGUUCUCUUCCCCAUUCAAAAUACAUCCUCCCCCAAAUAUGCCCUCCAUAAUUCCUGCUCAUCUGAAGUGCCCAGUGUUUACUUCUGGCAUACAAUUAAAUAUUUAAUCAUAUUCUGUCUAUUUAAAAUUCUCCUCUCAACAAAGACUGAAAUAAAGGCCCCCUAUACUCAUAGCAGCACUGUUUUGUGCUCCUAAAGAAAUGGAAACAAAGUGGAGGUGUAUCCACUGAUAGGGGAAUCAUUACUAAAGCAAUUACAAUGCAUGCAUGCAAAAUAUGAGUAAUUCAUUGAAAUGUGGGAAAGCUUAUAUGAACGGAUGCAGAAUGAGAAAAUAAUGUUUAAUGAUUACAAGUAUAUGAGGGAAAAAACAAGCAAAUGAAAUUGAUUGUUGUGGGUCAUAAUAAUGAACAAUCUUGGCCUUGGGGAAAAGAGUUAAAGAAAGUGCUUGGCUCCCUUCUUUCACUGGAGAAAUGAAGGAAUGGGUAUGUAGAAUGUAACAUAUGUUGCCAGACACUGUCAAUGUAUCCCUUGGCUGUCAGGUGCUGUAGAUAUAUGAUAGUGACUUUUCUUUAACUGUCCAUCCCCCUUUCUUGUUAAAAGGAAAGAUGCCGAGGAGAGGAUGGAGGAAGCGAAGAAUAUAUAUCAUGAAAAAAAUAUUUAACGGUACAGAAGUAGAUGAGCUCUGACAUUCUAUGACUCUUCAAGGCACCAUUAUUCAUUCACUUUACCCUAUGUAACAAUCACUCUUCUU